rnacentral:misc_RNA from 1 species
UUUGACUUUUGGCGGCAAAUUGCAAAUAAACAAGAAGUUUUUAUCUUGUAGAUCUAUGCCAGACUGAUUUGUGUGUUGUACAAGAAAGUAAUGACCAGACUUUAAAUAAGUGUAGAUUAAUUUGCAACAUAAUUGCUAAUGGAAUCGCCAUACUUCAACAAACGAACAACGAGAUCUAGCGGCAUCGGUAAAGUGAAAGUAGAAAAUGAGCAAUUGCCUCUGAAGAAAUCGGCAAAUGGAACCACACAAAAGCCUUUCUCUAGAAAACGAAAAGUAGAGGUUAAAUAUGAAGAAACUAUGGUCGAACAACCACAGAAUGUAAAACAGGAACCCUCUGUUUGGGAACCCCCUAUGUGGAGAGAACAAUUAAAGAACAUUUAUAGCAUGAGAAAAUUUAGGAACGCAGCUGUAGAUUCGAUGGGAUGUGAUGUCAUCAGCGAUACUCUUGCAUCUCCCGAGGUAUACAGGUACCAAGUGUUGCUUUCACUCAUGCUGUCGAGUCAAACUAAGGAUCAAAUUACAUCAGCAGCUAUGGAGAAAUUACGAGAACAUGGCUGUAGCAUUGAUAACAUUUUACAGACCUCUGACAAAGUGUUGGGAGAGUUAAUUUAUCCUGUUGGAUUUUGGAAGAAAAAGGUUGAAUACAUUAAGAGAACUUCCAAAAUUCUUCAAGAGGAAUACAAUGGAGAUAUCCCAGACACUGUGGAGAAAUUAUGCAAGCUGCCAGGAGUUGGACCCAAAAUGGCUUAUUUAGUUAUGAAGUGUGCUUGGAAUCAGAUUGUGGGCAUUGGUGUAGACACACAUGUUCACAGAAUAUCUAAUCGCUUGGGAUGGGUGAAGAAACCCACAAAACAGCCUGAGGACACCAGGAAAGAGUUACAGGAUUGGCUUCCAAGGGAGUACUGGAGGGACAUUGAUGAACUCCUUGUAGGAUUUGGACAACAAACAUGUCUACCAGUGGGUCCAAAAUGUUAUGAAUGUCUGAAUAAAGAGAUCUGCCCAGUGGGUAAAUCAAAUAAAAAGAUGCCUUCCUCAAAGAAAACCAAGAAAGAAGAGAUGAAAGAGGAAACAGAAUAAGAAACUUUACAUUGCUUUAUAUUUUUCUCCAAGUGAGGAAGCAAUAGAUUAACUUAUUAUUAAUAAAUAUUGUCAUCAUCAUUUCACUGAUGUUAUUGCAACAAUUUUCAAUAAAAAUUGUGUUUAGU